AACAAGGAGAAUGAGGAAUGGACUGAAAAAGAAUUUCCUGGAAACUCCAGCAAAAUCCAGCUGAACAAUCUCCAGUACGAUGCUGAUUAUCACCGGCGUUAGGGAAGGAGGUGUGGUGGGAAUUGUAAUGUUCAUCUUCUUGAUACUGAUGGUGUCAGUAGAUGCUUUCUGUUGCUACACCAACCACUGUGGCCUGCUUAAUUUCCUCGCUCGCAAACUAUUUGGACACAACAUCUCAGAGUCUAAAGGGAUGGAUGAAGAGGCCAAUAAUUCCUCUGGAGACGUGAAGCUGAGCGGGCUAACACUACCACGAGGCAGCAUCCCAAAGCUUCAGUCAGCCAGUGGGGCAGUGAAUGGCGUUCAUUCAGAGGUCACGUGUGACAAAGCACCCCUUACCAAAUUCGAGAAGAAACCAGAAUCUGGAGAUCCAGCAGCAGAGGCCUAA
rnacentral:lncRNA from 1 species